rnacentral:rRNA from 1 species
AUUGAACGCUGGCGGCAUGCUUUACACAUGCAAGUCGAACGGUAACAGGUUAAGCUGACGAGUGGCGAACGGGUGAGUAAUGCAUCGGAACGUGCCCGAUCGUGGGGGAUAACGCAGCGAAAGCUGCGCUAAUACCGCAUACGAUCUGAGGAUGAAAGCGGGGGACCGUAAGGCCUCGCGCGAUCGGAGCGGCCGAUGUCAGAUUAGGUAGUUGGUGGGGUAAAGGCCCACCAAGCCGACAACCUGUAGCUGGUCUGAGAGGACGACCAGCCACACUGGGACUGAGACACGGCCCAGACUCCUACGGGAGGCAGCAGUGGGGAAUUUUGGACAAUGGGCGAAAGCCUGAUCCAGCAAUGCCGCGUGCAGGAAGAAGGCCUUCGGGUUGUAAACUGCUUUUGUACGGAGCGAAAAGGUCCUUUCUAAUACAAGGGGCUCAUGACGGUACCGUAAGAAUAAGCACCGGCUAACUACGUGCCAGCAGCCGCGGUAA